rnacentral:lncRNA from 1 species
AGAGCAGAACUUGGACUGAGUCCUGCAGGACACAGGUAUUAGCUUUUCUCUUUUAUUUGCUUUAUGUUUCAUUUACUUCUUUGGAUCGAAUAGCUCCAAUUGUAUUGCUGUUAUUUGGUUUUUCAUUUUGUUGUUGGGUUUUUUGAUGUGGUGUUUUUUUGUUUUGUUUUGUUUCUUUUUGUCUUUUUAGAAAGAGGGUUUCCCUCUAUUGCCCUGGCUGGAGUACAGUGGUGGAAUCACUGUUCACUACAGCCUCCAACUUAUUCCUGGGCUCAAGCAAUCCUUCUGUCUCCAUCUCCUGAGCAGCUGGGACUCUAGGCAUUUGCCACCGUGCCCAAUUUUUUUUUAAUUCCUUUUUAAAAAUAUUUUAAUCCUUUCCGGAAAAAAAUAUGUUUUCCAUGGACUUGCUUAUUUCCUUUAUACAGUCCAUUGUCGUUGAAUUCUUAUUUGAAUUUGUGAUACACCCUCUCAUAGGGAACAUAACAAAUUUCCUCCCACAGCAAUUAAUGACGAGUGCGAUGAGAAGCAUAAUGACAAUGAUUAACUUGAUAAUUAAAAAUCUAAUCAACCAACUGUUGAUGAUUGUACUAAACAAAAUAAUUUCAUUUUUACACAACCAGUUGUAUGUGAACUAUGUUGAAAACAGGAUGCAUGACUGGCGGCCAGAACAAAGAAGUUUGGUUUAAUUUCUAUCUAUACACCCAGUAAAAUAUCUGUAAUACCACUGGAAAACCUUAAAAUACAUUAUCUAUUUCUUGUAAAAGAAUGAUGAAAUGUGAAUUUGAACAGCAUAAAUAUGUACAAGUAUCUCUUCUCAACGGAAAAAAUUAUGUUUGUGGAUGAAAUAUGAACCGAGUUUGUGGAUGAAAUAUGAGCAGCAUGAAUAUGCACAGAUAUCUCUCCUCAAUGGAAAAAAUCACGUACAAAAUAUAAGAACCCAGUUUGUGGAUGCGUGAAUAAUGAUAAAUUGAGGCCGGGCGCGGUGGCUCACGCCUGUAAUCCCAGCACUUUGGGAGGCUGAGAUGGGCGGAUGACCCGAGGUCCGGAGCUCAAAUCCAGCUCGACCAAUGCGGUGAAACCCCAUCUCUAGUAAAAAUACGAAAAUUAGCCGGGUGUGGUGGCGCAUGCCUGUAAUCCCAGCUACUCGGGAAGCUGAGGCAGGAGAAAUGCUUGAACCCUGGAGGUGGAGGUUAAUAGUGUGCCCAGAUCGCACGACUGCACUCCAGACUGGGUAACAGAGUGAGACUCCGCUUCAAAAAAACAAAAAACAAAGAAUAAUAAUAAUAACGAUAAAUCCUAUAUGUUACGGUAAAAAUCUUCAUGAGAACAAAUUUACUAUCAUUUUUUCUACUGAAUGGAUGAUCAUGAAAAGGAAUUUAUUUUUAUUUCGUAUGAUGGACUGAGCAUCAUGAAAAAAAAUACUACCUUUUGGAUUGUUGAACUUCCAUCCUGAGAAAUUUACUAUUGUGCUGCAUGCUGCAGUGAUGAUCUUGUGAUCUCAGCAAUGCCCAUGGGGCAAUUUACAUCGGGACUCGUUUCAUCUCUAGACCUUCACUUACCUGAGAAAGACAAGUGUCUUUUGAUAAAUAAAAUAUUGUUAAAUGCAAUGUUGCCUCAUGAUUUUUUUUUUCUUUUCCUUUUCCUUUUUUUUUUUUUUUUUAGAUGUAGUUUCACUCUUCUUGCCCAGGCUGGAGUGUAAUGGUGCGAUCUUGGCUCGCUGCAAUCUCUGUCUCCCAGGUUUAAGUGAUUCUCCUGCCUCAGCCUCCUGAGUAGUUGAGAUUACAGGUACACACCACAAUGCCCAGUGAACUUUGUAUUUUUAGUAGAGUCGAGGUUUCACCAUGUUGGCCUCGCUGGUCUCGAACUCCCGACCUCAGGUGAUCCACCUCCUGGGCCUCCCAAAGUGCUGGGAUUACAGGCAUGGGCUACCACGUUCAGCCAUGAUUGUUUCCAGGGUGAUUUGCUACACAUGUUGGGAUCAGUAACC